AUAGAACGCUGGCGGCAUGCUUUACACAUGCAAGUCGAACGGCAGCACGGACUUCGGUCUGGUGGCGAGUGGCGAACGGGUGAGUAAUACAUCGGAACGUACCCAGUAAUGGGGGAUAACUAUCCGAAAGGAUAGCUAAUACCGCAUACGCCCUACGGGGGAAAGAGGGGGAUCGCAAGACCUCUUGUUAUUGGAGCGGCCGAUGGCUGAUUAGCUAGUUGGUAGGGUAAAGGCCUACCAAGGCAACGAUCAGUAGCGGGUCUUAGAGGACGGUCCGCCACACUGGAACUGAGACACGGUCCAGACUCCUACGGGAGGCAGCAGUGGGGAAUCUUGGACAAUGGGCGCAAGCCCGAUCCAGCAAUGCCGCGUGCGUGAAGAAGGCCUUCGGGUUGUAAAGCGCUUUUGUCAGGGAGCAAAUCCUUGUGGCUAAUACCCACCGGAGAUGAGAGUACCUGAAGAAUAAGGACCGGCUAACUACGUGCCAGCCGCCGCAGUAA
rnacentral:rRNA from 1 species